rnacentral:rRNA from 1 species
GGAUCAGAUUGUUGGUCGUGCCUCGGUACGUACUGGCAUUAUUGAUUCCUCCUUCCCGAUGAGCCGUAAUGCCAUUUAUUUGGUGUUUUGGGGAAUUUGGACUGUUACUUUGAAAAAAUUAGAGUGUUUAAAGCAAGCUAACGCUUGAAUACAUUAGCAUGGAAUAAUGAAAUAGGACGUUCGAUCCUAUUUUGUUGGUUUCUAGGAUUGACGUA